rnacentral:rRNA from 1 species
ACGGCGAGUGAAGCGGCAACAGCUCAAAUUUGAAAUCUGGCGCAAGCCCGAGUUGUAAUUUGCAGAGGAUGUUUCGGGUGAAGCCACGGUCCAAGUCCCUUGGAACAGGACGUCAUAGAGGGUGAGAACCCCGUACCUGGCCGUCGGUGCCCCCCGCUGUGAAACUCCUUCGACGAGUCGAGUUGUUUGGGAAUGCAGCUCUAAAUUGGUGGUAAAUUCCAUCUAAAGCUAAAUACCGGCCAGAGACCGAUAGCGCACAAGUAGAGUGAUCGAAAGAUGAAAAGCACUUUGAAAAGAGAGUUAAAAAGUACGUGAAAUUGUUGAAAGGGAAGCGCUUGCGGCCAGACUUGCCCGCGGUUGCUCAGCCCGCCUUUUGGCGGGUGCACUCUUCCGCGGUCAGGCCAGCAUCGGUUUGGGCGGCCGGAUAAAGGCGUCGGGAACGUGGCCUCCCCUCGGGGAGGUGUUAUAGCCCGGCGCGCAAUGCGACCAGCCCGGACCGAGGUUCGCGCUUUGCUAGGAUGCUGGCGUAAUGGCCGUAAGCGGCCCGUCUUGAAACACGGACCAAGGAGUCUAACAUCUAUGCGAGUGUUUGGGUGUCAAACCCGUGCGCGUAAUGAAAGUGAACGGAGGUGGGAACCGCAAGGUGCACCAUCGACCGAUCCUGAUGUCUUCGGAAGGAUUUGAGUAAGAGCAUAGCUGUUGGGACCCGAAAGAUGGUGAACUAUGCGUGAAUAGGGUGAAGCCAGAGGAAACUCUGGUGGAGGCUCGCAGCGGUUCUGACGUGCAAAUCGAUCGUCAAAUUUGCGUAUA